rnacentral:lncRNA from 10 species
CAGACUUCUUUCUAACUCUCCCUCAUCUCCCUAAACUCCUAAUGUUAGAGAGUUUCAGAGCUUGAUCCUGGGGUCUUUUCCCUAUCUAUUUUUUUUAGAGACAAGGGUCUCACUGCAUUGCCCUGGCUGGAGUGCUGCAGCACCAUCAUAGUUCACUGUAGCCUGGACCUCCGGGACUCAAGUGAUCUUCCCACCUCAGCCUCCUGAGUAACUGGGACUACAGGUGUGCGCCACUAUACCCAGCUCUUUUCUCUCUUCCAUCUGCACUCACUGUCUUGGUUAUCACAUGCAGAUACAUGACAUUAAGUGUUAUCUCUAUGUGGAUUAUCCCCAAAUUUACGACCCC